rnacentral:rRNA from 1 species
GGGGACCCCAAGUGCGAGGGCAUAUAGUCCUCGCUGUUCUGGACUGUAGGGAGGUUCAGAAGAAAGGGCUGGGCAAGACCGGUUCCAGCCGCCGCGGUAAUACCGGCAGCCCGAGUGAUGGCCGAUUUUAUUGGUCCUAAAGCGUCCGUAGCCGGCCAGACGGGUCCGUCGGGAAAUCUGCACGCCCAACGUGCAGGCGUCCGGCGGAGACCAGCUGGCUUGGGGCCGGAAGACCCAGGGGGGUACGUCCGGGGUAGGAGUGAAAUCCCGUAAUCCCGGACGGACCGCCGGUGGCGAAAGCGCCCUGGGAGGACGGACCCGACGGUGAGGGACGAAAGCCAAGGUCACGAACCGGAUUAGAUACCCGGGUAGUCUUGGCCGUAAACGAUGUCCGCUCGGUGUGGCGCAGGCUACGAGCCUGCGCUGUGCCACAGCGAAGGCGCUAAGCGGACCGCCUGGGAAGUACGUCUGCAAGGAUGAAACUUAAAGGAAUUGGCGGG